AAGACAUUUGAGUGCUACUCUUGCCUCUGGCUGGUUUACUUUGGACAUCAUAAACCCUUUUUUUUUUUUCAGGAUCUAGUAUUUGGGAGUAUGCUUGAGAAAACAGAGCUUCAGGAAAAGCUGAGAAUGACCUCUCUCUGGCUGACUCACUGUGACUUUAAAGUAAUAUGUCUUUACAGAACAUGGCUUCUCUGCUGUUGGAACAGGAAGACCAAACAGCUCCCUGAAGCAGGUUACCUGCUCUGUAUCCACUGUACCAGUUCUCUAAACUGGCUGAAUAUCAGGAACACCUGGGAUGCUGUUUGUACAAUAGUCUCUUCAGGAUACUGUAUUCAUCUUCAUAUGAAAUGAUCUAGGUGAAGAAAAUAACCAAUGUGAGGAAAGGGAAUCCUUUUGCUUUCUGGAGUGUGGUUGACCUGAUUCCAUUGAAGGAACGUAUAGAGGAUUAAGUCUUUUUUUUCCCCAAAUUGUGCUUCAUGGUUCCUACCUCCCAACGAGACUAGCUACAUAAUUGCAGGGCCUAGUGCAAAUGGAAAACUAGGGUGCGUUAUGCAAAAAUUAAGGAUUGCCAGAUAGCAACAGCAGAUCACACAUGGGCACACAAGGCUCUUGCAAGUGGAGCAUCCCUAUGCAACGGCAGGUCACCAGCUCAUGAUGCCACCUCUGCGUUUACAUACCUUUGUAACUCCAGGAAUGCAGCAGUAACAGACUUAGCUUGGUGUAACUAAAGAAUACAUAUCCUUGGUGAGCACAGAGUUCGCACUGUUAAGUUAUGCCUGCCUAAGGAGUCCAAGAAUGAUAGCUGAAACUUUUGUUGUCAGAUUCACUCUAGUCAUUUUUUAUCUGGAACAAGAGUUUGUACAAGAGUAUAAUUGUUAUAGGGGCGCCUGGGUGGCGCAGUCGGUUAAGCAUCCGACUUCAGCCAGGUCACAAUCUCGCGGUCCGUGAGUUCGAGCCCCGUGUCAGGCUCUGGGCUGAUGGCUUGGAGCCUAGAGCCUGUUUCUGAUUCUGUGUCUCCCUCUCUCUCUGCCCCUCCCCUGUUCAUGCUCUGUCUCUCUCUGUCCCAAAAAUAAAUAAACAUUGAAAGAGUAUAAUUGUUAUAAG
rnacentral:lncRNA from 1 species